rnacentral:rRNA from 1 species
UACGAAGGGGGCUAGCGUUGCUCGGAAUCACUGGGCGUAAAGGGUGCGUAGGCGGGUCUUUAAGUCAGGGGUGAAAUCCUGGAGCUCAACUCCAGAACUGCCUUUGAUACUGAAGAUCUUGAGUUCGGGAGAGGUGAGUGGAACUGCGAGUGUAGAGGUGAAAUUCGUAGAUAUUCGCAAGAACACCAGUGGCGAAGGCGGCUCACUGGCCCGAUACUGACUCUGAUGCACGAAAGCGUGGGGAGCAAACAGG